rnacentral:lncRNA from 1 species
AUGUGGUCACAUGAAUAAUUAUGUAUUGGUAUUUUAUUAAUGAGUACAUUUCCAUAGUUAUUGUGAUUUAUUUUUAAUCACCCUUCUCACACUAUUACUUUAAUUUCCCUACCAUGUGACUAAAUACCACAAUUUGCCAAGUGUAGAGAUUAUUGAGAGAGUGUAGAGAUUAUUGAGAGAGUGUAGAGAUUAGAGAGAUCAAGGCAUUAAUUGCCAAUAUUUCCUUAAGAUUACAAAACACCUCAAUCCACUCUAAAAUCUUCCAUAAACACAUCCUAGCUACUUAUAUUCAAGAGAAUCAUUGAAGAAAGGCUUCCAAGCUAGAGUGAGAAAAUAUGAGUUUUGGUGAGAAACUUGGGUAAGUGAU